CUGAACGCCUCUAAGUCAGAAUCCGUGCUAGAAACGAUGAUGUUGGUCCCGCACAUUUGACUUGUGUUAAAAUAGAGCUUUGGCUCGUGUACCAAAUCACCAAAUCAGGUGGACUGGGCUGUCAGUGUGGAAAUGCAUUGGCAGUUUGUUCACGAAUUGUAAUCAUUAUAUGGGCGGGGGUGAAUCCUUUGCCAGACGAACUUGAAUGGGAACGGGGUACUGUAAGCGGUAGAGUAGCCUUGUUGCUACGAUCCGCUGAGGUUAAGCUCUUGUUCUAAAGAUUUGU
rnacentral:rRNA from 1 species